GCAAAAUGAAAUCAUAAACGAGGCAGUUGAAUAAUGAACAAAAAUUUGUCAAAAAUUGCUAAAAACCAGGCCAACGAACACUAAGGCCAUGGGCCAAGGGUCUUCCUCGAAGCACUCGCAGUGUUUAUGGCCAAAAAAGAAAAAGAAAAAAUAGUGGUAGAAGAAGCAGCAGCAGCAGCAGCAAAGGCAGAGGCAAAAGCCAAAUUUUUUGUGCCCGCCGUUGGCAACAACAACAACAGCAUCCCGUCAUUGGCAGGGGCAGUGGCAGGGGCAGGCAGUAGGCAGCCGGGCUACUAAUGUCGAGCAGUUCGCAGUUCUUUUUGGCCCGUUUUUAUGGUCCUGGGUCCAGUCUCUUUUUAUGAUGCUGCCUCGGCCAAUUUCCGUUUCCGAGUUUUCGACUCGGCAUUUAUGCAAAUACUCAGCGACAGAUGUGUGUGUGUGUGUGUGUGUGUUUGUAAAGUUAAUCCUUUAUGCAUGUGUCGACUGUUCGCAUAGCAGGAAGUUGACAGUUGGUGCCAUAUAUCAUAACUGUGUGUGUGCGUGUGUGUGAGUGUGCGAGUGUGUGUGCCUGUGCGCUGGGAAAUAUUCGGCCUGGGCCUUUCAUGUGACUCACUGACUGCCCAACUAUCCGUCUGUUUGUGUUUUUAUCUAUUUAUU
rnacentral:sRNA from 1 species